rnacentral:rRNA from 1 species
AGUGAACGCUGGCGGUAGGCCUAACACAUGCAAGUCGAACGGCAGCACAGUAAGAGCUUGCUCUUACGGGUGGCGAGUGGCGGACGGGUGAGGAAUACAUCGGAAUCUACUUUUUCGUGGGGGAUAACGUAGGGAAACUUACGCUAAUACCGCAUACGACCUACGGGUGAAAGCAGGGGAUCUUCGGACCUUGCGCGAUUGAAUGAGCCGAUGUCGGAUUAGCUAGUUGGCGGGGUAAAGGCCCACCAAGGCGACGAUCCGUAGCUGGUCUGAGAGGAUGAUCAGCCACACUGGAACUGAGACACGGUCCAGACUCCUACGGGAGGCAGCAGUGGGGAAUAUUGGACAAAGGGCGCAAGCCUGAUCCAGCCAUACCGCGUGGGUGAAGAAGGCCUUCGGGUUGUAAAGCCCUUUUGUUGGGAAAGAAAAGCAGCAGGUUAAUACCCCGCUGUUCUGACGGUACCCAAAGAAUAAGCACCGGCUAGCUUCGUG